CUGCCUCCUUUGGAUCUUUUUGCGGUCUGGGCUUGCUGUUCCUCUCAACCGUAGUCAGGAAGCCCUUACCCCAAAAAGCAUCUUCGGGAGGCCUGGUCUGCAGGGGCGAUGCC
rnacentral:pre_miRNA from 1 species